rnacentral:rRNA from 1 species
GGUGUAGGCGGAACGGUAAGUACCUUGUGAAAGCCCCGGGCUCAACCCGGGAAUUGCUCGGUAUACUAUCGUUCUUGAGGCAGGUAGGGGUCACUGGAACCUUAGGUGGAGCGGUGAAAUGCGUAGAUAUCUAAGGGAACGCCUGUGGCGAAAGCGGGUGACUGGGCCUGUACUGACGCUGAGACCCGAAAGCGUAGGGAGCGAACG